UCCUAUAUCAACGAAAUCUUGACUCGUUGCUUUGACCCCCUAAAUCACUUCAAAUCGCUUCGGGCUCUACACGAAAGUUGUAGAUCUCGUCGAGAUCUUUCAAUCCCGAUCAAUCUCAUCUCUUUUCAUCCACCAUACACGGAUAAUUUCGCUUCGCAAGGCGUCAGGUCUGACAAAGGGAAUCUUCAAUUAGUUCGUGCUCGUUCCACGAAAUCCAAACUCCUUUAAUCUAUUUCGAGUCAACCGGAGCCAAAUCGAGUUUCAAAACUAUCUCGAAUCGUCAUGACUUCAACACGGAAGUUGUUCCUCUCGUCAAGAUCUUUCCAUUGCCGCAAGUUUCACCUUGUUUCGUUCACCGAGCAAGGAGAAAAUCGUGUUACAAGAUUCAGAUAUUAUAAGUUGUACGGAGAGGCACGUAUUUUGAUUAAGAGAAGUGAACGCGUUUCGACUACCAAAAAGGCAAGUGACACUCAAAUCCAACUUAUUUUAAUUAUGCAUUAGUGUUUUGAAACUAGCAUGCAUGGUAGGAUUUUGUUUUCAAAGUAAAGUAUUAUGCUAUGCUUAGCAAACCCUAGUAGUGUGUAGCUACUCCUGAACCUGUUGAUAGGAUACUUUAUUUUUGCUCUGCAACAUCAAAUGCCAAUUGUUAUUUCGUUGUUUCGAUUGUGAUGGUUUGAAAAGUGAAAAUUAACAACCUUAAUGAAUCACCUGGGUGGAUUGUUUGUGUGGUGGGCGGCUGCUCAGGGCUCCGACCCUGGAGUAACCAGUGGCAGGUGGGUGCCUGAGAGUGCGCAGUUGAAUAGUGGUUUCCCUAGACUGCACCUCUGGUUUUCACCAGGGGAUCGUGCGGGGGUUUAUUAUCUGUAAUGGUUCUAAGCCUGUGAGUUUCACUUGUGGAUGGCCACCCAGGAUUAAAGAGAUUAAUAUGUCAUCCAUGUCUUAGUUAGCUUCCAGUGCAGCCUUAUGGUAUUAUGGGCUCUGCCGGGAUUAAGUAAGUUGUGAGGCCAAACUUGUUGCUAGACAUGAUGAUGGGGCUUGCAACCCAACGGGAACGGGUCUAGCUAGUUAUGGUCGAAGCGUCCUUCUGAAAGAUCUUGUCUCAUUUCUUCUCUUGGGAAGGGUGGGUCGUAAGGUGAAAGUGCACAACCUCUCGAGAGUUAAACCUAAGAUCUUAGCCGUGUCCCCGGUUACGGACAAUUUGAGCUUUCUAGGCAGGGAAUGUACGGAAGAAUCUCAUCAUUGUUUUCUGAAUGCAAUUAAAAUUUGAUCAACCUUCGAAAACUCAUGGGAGAUGUAACCAUGUGAUU